ensembl:lncRNA
UGUAGUUAAAGUUAAUGUGGCCAUGAGGAAGCUGUGUGCUUUAAAAAUAAUAAAUUGGGCUGUGACAUUUAGCUAAGUCACAACAAUUACCCCAUCACUGACGCCUCAUUUAGACAUUUUUUUAAUAUAUUUCAUAUUUGCUUUCUUGUCACGACUUGUUUGAAAUAUUGUUUGUGCGUUAAAGUUAAAGCUAGCAGCGGGUCAUCUUAGAUUUGAAUAAAAAGUAAUCGGUGGGAAUAAAUUAAUCAGGGACUGCUUAAUUUAUUGUUAAAAUGUGUGUUUAACACAAAGUUUGGGGCAUAUUAUGGUUUCAGGAGGGGGGUUGUGCACUGCUAAGCUAACGGUUAACUUUGUAAAUAGCCAAUUGCCAGAGGAGCUCGUCUGGUUUCACUGAACACUCGGCAAGAAAGCCAAAAUAUACAUUUGCCAAAGUAUAUAAAGAAAAUAGAAACAUAGCCCACAUUAGCAGUUAUUGUUAGUUGGUUGGCUUUUGUAUGGACAGACGAGAAAUGUUGGUAUUACGUCACACUAAGUCCUACUAGAUGCUAAAAAUCAGCCGGGGAGCCAGUGGUUGGUUCGCAGAGCUUUUGACCACCAGACACCAUCAGUGGGGCGGCCUGCUGAAGAGGCUAAGUGACCAAAAACACCAACAGAGAUUUGCCCUACUCAGUGUACCGCCCCAAGGUAAUGCUACAAACUACCUUGGCCACUCUUCUUUGUUCUUUGUAUGGGAAUAAAUUAGCACAGUGGAUGGCAUUAUUUCAAGUUAAAUGCACCAGCUGUUGAAGGUGUUACUGCGAAGUCAUACUUCAGUUUUCAGGGUGAGAUUUACAACAACAUAUGUUAUGUUAUCAAGAGAGACCCAGGUUAUUGCACAACACGUCACCAUAGUUGCCACUGCAGUUUAAGUAAAAAUGGAAGAAUUCAAAGUUAAGGCACUAAAACUGCUGCCAGAAAUGAAAGACCGUUCACAGAUAUCAAACCAAAGUCUAUGUUUCUGUGAUUUUUGUUUUAAUGUUUUUUAAAGAACUGGCUCCUCAUGCUGUUUUAGAAUAUGUGGCUUCAUUUUAGGUCAAAUUUCCCUUUAUUCAAAUAUUCCAGACUGAUUAAUGUGAAAAGGUUUAAGUAUGACACCUUCACACAAAUGCAUGAUUAUAUAUUGACUAUUCCCUUUCCUGUCCAGUUUGAGCUAUCAUUUAAAGUAGUUACCAUUCAUAACAGAGGGUCAGCCGUAUAACAUAUGUUAUAUCUGUUUGUACAAAUAUCUGUUCAGACAGUCUUGUGUAAGAAUUAAACAUAUUACAAUGCCAGAUAUAAUACACGGCCAAUUAUUGCUGUUU